GACGAACGCUGGCGGCGUGCUUAACACAUGCAGGUCGAACGGAAAGGCCCUGCUUUUGUGGGGUGCUCGUGUGGCGAACGGGUGAGUAACACGUGAGUAACCUGCCCUUGACUUUGGGAUAACUUCAGGAAACUGGGGCUAAUACCGGAUAGGAGCUCCUGCUGCAUGGUGGGGGUUGGAAAGUUUCGGCGGUUGGGGAUGGACUCGCGGCUUAUCAGCUUGUUGGUGGGGUAGUGGCUUACCAAGGCUUUGACGGGUAGCCGGCCUGAGAGGGUGACCGGCCACAUUGGGACUGAGAUACGGCCCAGACUCCUACGGGAGGCAGCAGUGGGGAAUAUUGCACAAUGGGCGGAAGCCUGAUGCAGCAACGCCGCGUGCGGGAUGACGGCCUUCGGGUUGUAAACCGCUUUCGCCUGUGACGAAGCGUGAGUGACGGUAAUGGGUAAAGAAGCACCGGCUAACUACGUG
rnacentral:rRNA from 1 species